GGUUGCCAUUUCCUUCUCCAAUGUAUGAAAGUGAAACGUGAAAGGGAAGUCACUAGGGGUGGAUAAUUUUUUAAUGUUCUUUUAAAUUACUUACCUAUUCUAGUUUCACAAUCCCCUAUUCUGAUUUUAUUGUUAUCUUUUAUUGUUUUUGAAGAUCUUAGACAGAUUCAUUUCAAAGUUCUUUUCAGAUUCUUCUUGUAUCUCUGUCGCCUCAGAGUAUAAAUCUCUCCUUUUUGACUACCUCUCAUUGUACUAAAUGUGUUUCUUACCCUUUCCCGGAAAGCACGCUUUGCAUGGGGAUUUCCUCCCACGUGUCCCUUGUCUGUGAGGUAGUUUCUUAUCUGCCUUAGCCUUGGUCUCAUGAGUUAACCAGACUCAACCCAGCUCAGAGCUCCCCAGUUCCGGAGUGACAGCUCUCCACAGUUCACGUGGCACAGGACAGAGGGGACUGGCCCUGAGCAAGCCGUGUGUUUCUACUACAAUUCUCCAUGCCCAGGUGGAGCUCUAUCACCCGCUGUUCUCGGUGGCAAGCCCAGCUCAGAUUCCUAUUGCAGAGCCUUCAGGUCUGCAUGAUCCAAUUUGCUACUCUGAUGGUUCCUCUUGGGAUGACCAAGCUUUGGAGGAUUAAUCCAGUCUCUCAGGAGGCGUACCAGCAGAUUGAUUUCAGAACAUCGGCUUCAAGAAGGACAGACUUUCUGGGGUGUUGCUUUCCCCCUGAUAAAGUAUGUUUAUAAUACUAAAGCAAGAUGCUAUUUAAAUAUCUUUCCUCACUUUCAGAUUCUUUCUCUGGGCCCCCCUGCCUUCUUCAACAGGCUGAAACAAGACCUUGGCAAAAUUUAUUCUGCAAAAUUUUAAUUAUUAUUCUAGCUCUUGAACCCUGGUAGCCCCUGGAACUCUGUUCUUAGAAUUUCAGAACAGUUUCAGGAAAGGAAAUCUCUUUCCCCAAACCUCCUUUCCCACUUCAGUUGUAUUUUUUCCAGGGACCACCCUUUGCAGACAUGAUCUCCUGAACUCAGAUGUCCACAGCAACUGCCACACAGUCUCUGGGGCCACCUGUAGGGGGAAUAUGAUUCUGCUGCCCUCUGCUGACCACAGUGGGCUUGUUCUGCCUGUUAANNNNNNNNNNNNNNNNNNNNUCACCACAAAAACAGCAGUUCUUAUCUGCCAAAUUCUCCUUCCUCAGCAGUCCUUAACAGAUACCAAGACCUCUUGUUAUUAAGGAGCAUGGCAGGAAGCCAUGUUGCAGCUUCCAGGUAAAGUUUAUCUCACAUGCUCGGUGAGUGAUUCUGGCUCCCAUUAUAAAGGAUAAUGGGUUAUUUCUGGGAAGGACCCUGAAAUAUGACCAGAAAAUGUCUGAGCUCAUCAACUCUGCCCUGCCU
rnacentral:lncRNA from 1 species